rnacentral:lncRNA from 1 species
GUCUGAUGUUGGUGUCGAUGCAAGCCAAGGGCCAAGAAGGGUUUCUCAUGAUGAUGAAAUGUUGAAGAAUUGAAGCAAAAUCCAGCCUUAAUUCUCUUGCAUGUGUAGAGAUUCUACAUCAAAAAGCUAUAUGAAACAUGUGGAAUGUGUCAAGGAGAGCUCAAGCAUAGGAGGAUAACGGGUCAAGAUAAGGCAAGGUGACAAAUACACUUAUUGGAGUACUCAAGGUAAGUGAUUUCUAUAAUCACUUCUUUAGUUGUUUAAGUAAUAUAAUGUUUUAAUUAUUAAGUUCAUAUGAAGUUGAGGUCAAAUCAAUAGAUUAUUUUGAUAAAUGCACGAAUGGGUCGAAUAAUUCAUAGAUGAAUAACAAGCCGAAUACGUAUAAGUUAAGAAAUUCCUUAACUCGGAUGUUGGACUUCAAGAUCACAUGAUAGAAUAUUAAAUUACAAUCAUAUAGGAAGAAACGUGACGCAAAACGGAUGAAAAAUGAGAGAGUUAUGUCCGUUUCGGUAAGGAUUAAUGGUUAGGAAAAAUGCAGAGUUGACACGGGCGGGUGGUGAACUGACACGGCCGGGUGAAGGUUCUGUCAAAAAUAUUAUUUAUGUGAUUUAUGCGCCGUAGGCUUCGGUAUAUUAUCCGUGAACUACGACGGGCCUCCCAAACAUGAUUUCGAGUGUUUCCUUGACGAUUAUAAGUUGUAAACCCAAGUCUAAGCCUCAUGUAAUUUAUAUAAGAGUGUGAUAGAUGUAUGUAAUGAAGUUGGACAUGUAUUACAUGUAAAUGUAUACAAAAAUACGUACGGAACACGUAGAUAUGAAUACAUGAUUGUAGGUAUGAUUAAAUGUAUAUUAGGUAUGUAGAUGUGUAUGAUUGUAAGUUUGUAUGUGUGCAAGUAUGUGCGAAUGCAUGAUUUGGAUGCAUUUGAGAAUUAGCGUUACUAAUAAUGCCAUUGGGUUUGGAAUAUAAGUUAAUUGGAUGCAUUUAAAUGGUUGACGUCCUUUUUAUGAAGAUGUAGUAAAUGAAUAUGUUGAGAUUACGGGUUUGGCUAACCAAGUUAUUAUUGAGUAUGUUUGAAAGUGCAGGUUAUGAAUGUCGGACUUUCGAAGUGUUGAUAUAAUAACGAAACGGUUGAAUGUUGAAAGGAUAAUCGGAUUAAAGUAACUUAUGCGGUUAGAAUAUGCUAUGGACGUUUUAGUUUAUACAACAUUUUAUGUUUGGUCGUCAUCAUCUACCAACGGGUAAAUCCUCAAUUCAGGCGACUUGGAGAAUCGGAGCGAGCGCGUGUUCAUGUUAUGUCAUACCAAACGCUUCCGCUAGCUUGUUCAAAUGUUUUUGAUCCAAAAUUUGUUGUAUUGGUUUUUAGUAGUAUCUUGUUGAACGAAUUGUAGAAUUGUAUCUAGUUUGUUUAUGUUUAAAACAGGGAAAAAAUCGGGCAUGACCCGUUCGUAAUAAGAACAAUUCCCUGUAAGAUCGUCGUGUAAGAACUUAAAGAUAACGCAGCGGAAAAAUAGCUUUA